rnacentral:tRNA from 1 species
GAGAGUAUAGCUCAGUGGUAGAGCGCAUGCCUAGCAUGCAUGAGGUCCUGGGUUCAGUCCCCAGCACCUCCA